AGAACUUAGCAGAGAUGCUUUGGUGCCUUCGGGAACUCUGAGACAGGUGCUGCAUGGCUGUCGUCAGCUCGUGUUGUGAAAUGUUGGGUUAAGUCCCGCAACGAGCGCAACCCUUAUCCUUUGUUGCCAGCGGUUAGGCCGGGAACUCAAAGGAGACUGCCAGUGAUAAACUGGAGGAAGGUGGGGAUGACGUCAAGUCAUCAUGGCCCUUACGAGUAGGGCUACACACGUGCUACAAUGGCGCAUACAAAGAGAAGCGACCUCGCGAGAGCAAGCGGACCUCAUAAAGUGCGUCGUAGUCCGGAUUGGAGUCUGCAACUCGACUCCAUGAAGUCGGAAUCGCUAGUAAUCGUGGAUCAGAAUGCCACGGUGAAUACGUUCCCGGGCCUUGUACACACCGCCCGUCACACCAUGGGAGUGGGUUGCAAAAGAAGUAGGUAGCUUAACCUUCGGGAGGGCGCUUACCACUUUGUGAUUCAUGACUGGGGUGAAGUCGUAACAAGGUAAGCGUAGAUGA
rnacentral:rRNA from 1 species